AGGACACGAGUGAGCUCGGCUUCGUUUUGUGGAGAGAAAACUGAAGUCCCCGGUCGGUGGGUCGCUGGCUUGGUGAGAGAAUUUGGGGUGCGGGGUGGAGAGUGAAAUCUCUUCGCCUUCCUCAGCCCGGCGUCUUGCAGCAUCUCUGACCGCUGCUGUCUGCUGUGCUCGCUGAAACCCAGUUGGAGGCCCAGCAGGAACCUAAUUCCAGAAGGGAUGAAGAGAACUCAGGAGACCAGAUUUCAUUGAUGCAAAAUCGCAAGAGGUUUAUUUUAACCAUUGCGCAAUGGGGUCACCACUGACAUUCAGCAAAGAGUGGCCCUGGGAGACAAAGGCCUUCGGUUUUUUAAAACACAAGGCACAGGAAUUUUGAGGUUGCAGUCUUGGCAUUAAGGAUUGGAUGAGGAAGCUAUCAAGUAAGCAGAUUCUCCUGCCUGGUUAAUUACAAAAAAUUCCAAGAGAGCAUACUUCCCACACCAUGUGCUUUCCCCAAGGAGGCCUUUUCAACCUUCAGAGCCAUAUUUCCAGCCUUCAGAAUUUUCUGUGAGUUCCUGGACUUGUUCUCUAUGUGAGGUGGGAAUUGAACCCGGAGCCUUGUUCAGAGUAGGCAAGCACUCUACCACUGAGCCAUAGAGUCUCAGCUUCAAGAAUUUAAGUAGUGAAAAAGAGUUUUCCAGAGUAAGAAGGAACAUCCAGGACAAAGGUGUUUAGUACCACAAAAAUCAAGAAUUCAGUCUGCCCAAGCAGGGAAGAAUGCAAUGAUUGCAGUGUAUGUACAUUCAGUGAAAACAAUAGCCAGAUGUUUCCACGUCUCCAGCCCCAGAACACACCCCAGUGUCUUGGAGGAAGGAGGGGCUGAAGAAAAUGAUGAGAUGGAUCGACUGGAGGCAAUUCGAAGGCCAUGUUAAUUUCUUCCAGCUGCCCUGACAAAUUACCACAAAGUGGAGUGCUUAGGAAAAUAGGAGUGUGUUCCCACAGAUCUGGAGGCCAGAAGUCUGAAGUCAAGAUGGCAGAAGAACCAUGAUCCCUCUAAAAGGUACACUGCAGAAUCCUCUCUUCACACUUCCUAACUAAGACCACUGUCAAUCUGUGGCUAGCUGUGGCUUGCAGCUAUAUCUAGUUUCUGUCACCACCUAAUCUCUUUCUCUGUAUCUCUGAGACCCAAUUCUCUCUGUAUAAGUAUGCCUGUCAUUGGAGUAGGGCUCACCCUAAAUCAUCAUGGCCAUCUAAAAUGAAUACUUCUGCAAAACUCCUGCUUCCAAAUGAACUCACUUUCAAAGGUAUCUAAUUGAAGAUAAUGUCUUUGGGAGAAGAUAGUCCAUCCUACAACGAAGGGUGUGGAUUUUGUGCUAUUGUUUUUCUACCAGUUUGAAUCUUUUUGAUGGAGGAACUCAUGCCACAUGGAACAGGUUGAGCCAGUGCCUGCUCAAGAACUUCAAGUAAUUGUAUUACAUAGUUGAAAGUCUCUUCUGUAGGAACUGUAUACAUUUAUUCUCCCAGAGCUUGAUGGCCUAAGACAUCCCUGACUCUGUUCUAGAGAGGAUCAAAUGUGGAAAGAUAAGAAAGCCACCCCAGAUUCCUCUCUGAACAAAUCAAAUGAUUUGUGUUUUCAAUUUGCUCAAAACAAAGUAAACUUUUCUGGAUAAUAUAAAGAUUUUUUUUUAUUUCCUCUGAUGAGGGGAUGAAGCCUUUUAGGUCUUUCUGAACUCUGGCUGGCUGGUUCAACUCAGCUGUUCUGGCCCAAACUCCUUUCCAAGUUGACUGAUUUAAACUGGCUUUUCUUGACUUCUCAUUGAAUUGCUCUGUUUGACCUCAAAUUUAUCCUGGCAAUAUGUAUUAAUCUUUUGGCUCCUUCUUAUUCUCUAGCUCAUUCUGUUUUCAACUGUGUCUAGUUUAUUCUUUCUGCAGCUUCUCUCUGUAAAACUGCCCUGGUAAAACUGCCUCACAAACACCACGUUCUUCUCUCCUUACACUGUUGCAGCCUUUCUUGUCCUGUCUCAUGAAAGUUGAGCAUGUCUUAUCUCUGACUCAUUCUGACAACUCUUUCUCUGAUUUGUCAACUUGUCUGCCUUUCAAUUAGAAGUCACUUUCAAACAUGGCUUUAUAAACUAAACUUACCUUCAUUGUUCAGGAUUGAAGGUAUGUUCUAAGGGUGUGUUUGUAUUCUAGCCAGAUCAUAUUGUAAUUCAGAGUGUGUCUGCAUUCCAACCAGAUCACAUAGACCUAGAAGGUCUUUGGAUGUGAUCCCUUGCCAGAGCAGUCAUGUUGCUGGAUUAAAAUUCCUCUAUAUAGAUGGAUCUAAGAUGGUGGCGCUGGGAGGACACUGUGUUUGAGGAACAGGACAGCAGUGCUGGCACAGCGACCAGGAGACUGAACUCUGGGACCUAAAACACUAACAGUUGUGAUUCCCAGAUGAGAAGAAAUCUUACAAUGUGGAAAUCAACCGGGACUGACCUCAGGUCACCCAGUCAAUCCCUGGAAAAGGUCUUGGGGACUGGUGGGUACACAGCCGCCAUCCCAGAUCAGGGCAAACAGCCUCCGACCCAGAACAGCACCCUCAGCCAGCAUCCUAGACCAGAGCACACAGCCUCCAGCCUAGAGCAAGGCACCCAACCUCCUACCCAGAGCGAAGCCCUCAGCUGCCAGCCCAGAGAGGAGCGCCUAACAAAAUACUUGCAAACCAAAUCCAAGAACACAUCAAAGAUAUCAUCCACUAUGACCAAGUAGGCUUCAUCCCAGGUAUGCAGGGGUGGUUCAAUAUAUGGAAAUCCAUCAAAGUGAUCCACCAUAUAAACAAACUGAAAGAAAAAAUCAACAUGAUAAUCUCCUUAGAUGCUGAAAAAGCAUUUGACAAAAUCCAACAUCCAUUUAUGUUUAAAGUAUUGGAGAGAUCAGGGAUACAAGGCACAUACCUGAACAUAGAAAAGACAAUAUACAGCAAGCCUACAGCCAACAUCAAACUAAAUGGAGCAAAACUUAAAUCAAUCCCACUGAAAUCAGGGGCAAGACAAGGCUGCCCACUCUCUCCAUAUCUCUUCAACAUUGUUCUUGAAGUCCUAGCUAGAGCAAGAAGACAAUUAAAGGAGAUCAAAGAGAUACAAAUUGGAAAGAAAGAAGUCACAGUAUCACUAUUUGCAGAUGAUAUGAUAGUAUACUUGAGUGACCCCAAAAACUUUACUAGGGAACUCUUACAUCUGAUUAACACCUUCAGCAAAGUGGCUGGAUAUAAAAUUAACUCAAAAAAGUCAAUAGCCCUCCUGUAUACAAAAGACAAAAGGGCUGAGAAAGAAAUUAGGGAAACAACACCCUUCACAAUAGCCACAAAGGACAUAAAGUACCUUGGUGUAACCCUAACCAAGCAAGUCAAAGACUUGUAUGAAGAAAAUUUCCAGUCUCUGAAGAAAGAAUCAGAAGAAGAUAUCAGAAGAUGGAAAGAUCUCUCAUGCUCAUGGCUUGGCAGGACUAAUAUAAUAAAAAUGGCCAUCUUACCAAAAGCAAUCUACAGAUUCAAUGCAAUUCCCAUCAAAUUACUGACACAAUUCUUUACAGAACUUGAAAGAAAAAUUCUCACCUUCAUAUGGAACAACAAGAAACCAAAUUGCUAAAACAAUUCUCUACAGUAAAAGAUCUUCAGGAGGUAUCUCCAUCCGUGAUCUCAAGAUGUACUAUAGAGCAACAAUACUAAAAAACUGCAUGGUACUGGCAUAGAAACAGACUGGUGGAUCAAUGGAAUCGAAUAGAAGACCCUGACAUAAAUCCACAGACUUAUGACCUUGAUUUUUGACAAAGAUGCCAAAACCAUUCAAUGGAAAAAAGACAGCAUCUUCAACAAAUGGUGCUGGUCUAACUGGAUGUUUAAAUAUAUAAAAAUAAAAAUAGAUCCAUAUUUAUCACCCUGCACAAAACUAAAGUCCAAGGGGAUCAAAGACCUCAAUAUAAAUCCAGACACACUAAACCUCUUAGAAAAAAAAGUGGGGAAGAGCCUUGAACUCAUUGGCACAGGAGACAACUUCCUGAACAGAACACCAACAGUACAGGCUCUAAGAGCAACAAUCAAUAAAUGAGACUUCAUGAAACUGAAAAGCUUCUGUAAAGCAAAGGACACUGUCAUCAGAAAAAAAUGACUGCCUACAGAUUGGGAAAGGAUCUUCACUAACCCUAUAUCUGACAGAGGACUAAUACCCAGUAUAUAUAAAGAACUUAAGAAGUUAAGUUAAACAGCAACAAAUCAAGCAAUCCAAUUAAAAAAUAGAGUACAGAGAUAAACAGAGAAUUCUCAAUAGAGGAGUAUCAAAUGGCAGAGAAACACUGAAAGAAAUGUUCAACGUCCUUAGUCAUAAGGGAAAUGCAAAUCAAAACUACCCUGAGAUUUCACCUUACACCCAUCAGAAUGGCUAAGAUGAAUAACUCAAGUGACAACACAUGCUGGAGAGGUUGUGGAGAAAGGGGAACCCUCCUCCACUGUUGGUGGGAAUAUAAACUUGUACAACCACUCUGGAAAUCAAUCUGGUGCUUCCUCAGACAACUAGGAAUAGCGCUUCCUCAAGAUCUAGCUAUACCACUCUUAGGCAUAUAUCCAAAAGAGGCUCAAGUACACAAUAAGGGCAUUUGCUUAACCAUGUUUGUAGCAGCUUUAUUUGUAAUAGCCAGAAGCUGGAAACAAGACAGAUGCCCCUCAACUGAGGAAUGGAUGCAGAAAUUGUGGUACAUCUACACAAUGGAAUAUUACUCAGCAAUAAAAAACAAGGAAAUAAUGAAAUUUGCAGGUAAAUGGUGAGAACUGGAAAAGAUUAUCCUGAGUGAUGUAUCCCAGAAGCAUAAAGACACACAGGGUAUGUACUCACCCAUAAGUGGAUAUUAGAUAUAUAAUAUAGGAUAAACAUACUAAAAUCUGUACACCUAAAGAAAUUAAUCAAGAAGGAGGACUCUGGCUAAAAUGUUCAAUCCCCAUUCAGAAAGGUAAAGGGAUAGACAUCAGAAGAAGGAGAAAACAGGGAACAAGUCAGGAUCCUGCCACAGAGGGCCUCUGAAAGGCUCUACCCUGCAGAGUAUCAAACCAGAUGCUGAGACUUAUGGGCAACCUUUGGGAAAAGUUCAGGGAAUCUAAUGAAAGAAGGGGGAAAUAGUAAUACCUGGAGAGGACAAGAGCUCCACAGGAGAGCAACAGAACCAAAAAUCUGGGCACAGGGGUCUUUUCUGAGACUGAUACUCCAACCCAGGACCGUUGAUGGAGAUAACCUAGAAACCCUGCACAGAUGUAGCCCAUGGCAGUUCAGUGUCCAAGCUGGUUCCAUAGUAAUGGGAACAGGGACUGCCUCUGACAUGAACUGAUUGGCCUGCUCUUUGAUCACCUUCCCCUAAGGGGGGAGCAGCCUUACCAGGCCACCGAGGAAGACAAUGCAGCCACUCCUGAUGAGACCUAAUAGACUAAGAUCAGAAGGAAGGAAAGGAAGACCUCCCCUAUCAGUGGACUUGGGGAGGGGCAUGCAUGGAGAAAGGGGAGGGAGGGAUUGAUGGAGGAGGAGGGAGGGAGAUACAGGGGCGAUACAAAAAUGAAUAAACUGUAAUUAAUAAAAAUUUUAAAAAAUGUAAACAAAAAAUUCCUCUAUACAAUAAUUUAAUGUAAUUUAAGAGUCAGGAAAUCAACAUCAUCAUUAUUAUUAUUAUUAUUAUUAUUAUUAUUAUUAUUAUUAUUAUUUUGGUCCAAAAGUGAAACUACUAUGUAUGACUGGGAAAAUGUAAUUUUAUAAAAUCAGACUUUAUUUACAAGGGCUUCUGGCAAAAAAAAAAAAUGUGGAAUCCCACUUGAAAUUUCUGAGUUUGAGCACAGCAUGGAGGUAACAAAACCAGAAGGGAUGGGAGGGCUGAAGGAAAAACAGCAAAGUGAGCUGUGUGACCACCCUCCAAGUCUCAGGUCAGAGGUGCAGUGAGAUCCUGAUUGCAUAGGGUUAGCCUCCUGGAUCACCAUGGAGACCACAGGAACCGGCAGCGAUGCUCCUUUGGCACUUAUCUGGAAACUUCCCAGAAGGCGGUAAACAUUCAGAGAAUGACCUCAUGACCCCAUGUCUUUAUACUCUCUUCUCUUUCUGGCUCUCUCUUGCGGGACUCCUCUCCCACCAUCAGGACCCCUUGAAUCAGUGCUCCAUCUUUCUGUAGCUUUCUGCCUCAAUGACAUGUAGUACAUCACAGGGAAUUCUUGGGGAUCAUGCUCCCUAAUGAUAAAUUACAACCACCAUCCUAAUGUUAUACUUAUAAUAAAAAAAGUCCUGUUCAAUUUCUCAGCUGUUACCCCAUCAUAUGAGGAUAUUGUUAAACUGUAACCUGCGGGUAAAAUUCAAUAUCCAAUAAAUAAAUAACCACCGUCUCUGGCUAUUGUCCAACGUACUGAACGCUGGCGGUUUCUACUCAUGCUGUGAAUGGACUGUUCCAUUUCCUUUAAAUGCUGACCUGGGAAUGUAAACAGAAGGCGGUCUGAAAAAAGUGACUACAUUUAUUCCAAAGUUAUCAAAAGUGAAUUCAUGCUAUUUUUGUAUUGAUCUGUUUGAUCUUUACAUUCCUUUGCAUGCUACUAAUUUAAUUGUAAUACAUUAAAGUAAAUUCAAGAAACCCAUGACAUUUCUGUUCAAGACUCGUGAAAAGGUAAUGCAAGUGGUCAUCACGCACACUUCACCAAAAUGCUAGAGGAGAGUCAGGAUGUUUGUCAUGAGUCUGGCAGUCUCCUGGGAGAUGCUUUGCUCUGUUUACCUGGAGUUACUUUUGUGUGAGAAGUGGAGUACAUGGUAAAUGAUGUAAUAAAGCAUUCCAUUUCAUUAUGCAAACACAGACCUCCAGCUAUCCCAUAAGCCUGACUGAAGCCCUUGCCUUUUUAAGCCUCUGAUACCCAUGAUAGGCGAGCAUGACUAUCCAGUUGCUGCCCUUCAGAAUGAGUUUUGAUUUAUGUAUAAAUGGUUAGCAUUUCCCACAUCCAUCAGUUCUCUUAAAGUCUAGCUUAGUCCACGCUUUGCUGUCACUGAUCUUUCUAUAAUAUGUAUCACCGUGACUAUUAGGGUUUGAGUGUGAUAUUUCACAUUCAGGCUCUUGGCUUUAAUCACUUGGCUCACAGUAGUUGAUGCUCUUCGGGGACAUCCCAGAACCUUUGGGAACGUUUUCUAAUUGGCAGAAGUGAGUCAUUAUGGGGCAUGGUUUUAAGGAAUAUAGCCCAGCCUGAUGCCAUUCCACGGCUACUACUGGUCGACCAGCUGCCUUGCCAUGCAUACAAACCUCCCAUGAGCGUGCCUCCUUACCACGGGUACGCUGGUAUUUGCUGAA